rnacentral:rRNA from 1 species
AGUGAACGCUGGCGGUAGGCCUAACACAUGCAAGUCGAACGGCAGCACAGUAAGAGCUUGCUCUUACGGGUGGCGAGUGGCGGACGGGUGAGGAAUACAUCGGAAUCUACUUUUUCGUGGGGGAUAACGUAGGGAAACUUACGCUAAUACCGCAUACGACCUACGGGUGAAAGCAGGGGUUCUUCGGACCUUGCGCGAUUGAAUGACCCGAUGUCGGAUUAGCUAGUUGGCGGGGUAAAGGCCCACCAAGGCGACGAUCCGUAGCUGGUCUGAGAGGAUGAUCAGCCACACUGGAACUGAGACACGGUCCAGACUCCUACGGGAGGCAGCAGUGGGGAAUAUUGGACAAUGGGCGCAAGCCUGAUCCAGCCAUACCGCGUGGGUGAAGAAGGCCUUCGGGUUGUAAAGCCCUUUUGUUGGGAAAGAAAAGCAGCAGGUUAAUACCCCGCUGUUCUGACGGUACCCAAAGAAUAAGCACCGGCUAACUUCGUG